CUCUGAGCUAAGCAGGA
rnacentral:tRNA from 1 species